rnacentral:rRNA from 1 species
GGGCCUACGGGAGGCAGCAGUAGGGAAUCUUCCGCAAUGGGCGAAAGCCUGACGGAGCAACGCCGCGUGAGUGAUGAAGGUCUUCGGAUCGUAAAGCUCUGUUAUUAGGGAAGAACAAGUGCUAGUUGAAUAAGCUGGCACCUUGACGGUACCUAACCAGAAAGCCACGGCUAACUACGUGCCAGCAGCCGCGGUAAUACAA